rnacentral:lncRNA from 1 species
GUGUGACUGAGUGUGAGUGAUGGGGACGCCAUUCCUGUCACUUCGGCACGGCUUUAGGUGUGUUACUGAAGCUACUGUCACUGUGGAGGAGUUUCUGGUCGCCGUAGGAGAGAAGACCAUUUCCGGAGACCUUCUCCCCUACCUCACCUCGCUCAUCAACGCAUCCUUGACCGCUGGCUACGUCCCUUCCGUCUUCAAGAGAGCGAGAGUUGCACCCCUUCUGAAAAAACCUACACUCGAUCCCUCCGAUGUCAACAACUACAGACCUAUCUGCUGCCUUUGAUACCGUGAACCAUCAGAUCCUCCUCUCCACCCUCUCCGAGCUGGGCAUCUCCGGCACCGCGCACGCUUGGAUUGCGUCCUACCUGACAGGUCGCUCCUACCAGGUGGCGAAUCGCAUCUCUGCAUGUCUGGCAGACAUAUCAGUGUGGAUGACGGAUCACCACCUCAAGCUGAACCUCGGCAAGACGGAGCUGCUCUUCCUCCCGGGGAAGGACUGCCCGUUCCAUGAUCUCGCCAUCACGGUUGACAACUCCCUUGUGUCCUCCUCCCAGAGUGCUAAGAGCCUUGGCGUGACCCUGGACAACACCCUGUCGUUCUCCACCAACAUCAAGGCGGUGACCCGA